AUUGAACGCUGGCGGCAUGCCUUACACAUGCAAGUCGAACGGCAGCACGGGUGCUUGCACCUGGUGGCGAGUGGCGAACGGGUGAGUAAUACAUCGGAACGUACCUUAUCGUGGGGGAUAACGCAGCGAAAGCUGUGCUAAUACCGCAUACGCCCUGAGGGGGAAAGCGGGGGAUCGCAAGACCUCGCGCGAUUAGAGCGGCCGAUGCCUGAUUAGCUUGUUGGUGGGGUAAAAGCCCACCAAGGCGACGAUCAGUAGCUGGUCUGAGAGGACGAUCAGCCACACUGGGACUGAGACACGGCCCAGACUCCUACGGGAGGCAGCAGUGGGGAAUUUUGGACAAUGGGGGCAACCCUGAUCCAGCAAUGCCGCGUGAGUGAAGAAGGCCUUCGGGUUGUAAAGCCCUUUUGUCAGGGAAGAAACACCGGCUCUAACACAGUCCGGGAAUGACGGUACCUGAAGAAUAAGCACCGGCUAACUACGUGCCAGCAGCCGCAGUAA
rnacentral:rRNA from 1 species